rnacentral:rRNA from 2 species
GGUCAGCGGCGGACGGGUGAGUAACACGUGGGUAACCUGCCUGUAAGACUGGGAUAACUCCGGGAAACCGGGGCUAAUACCGGAUGCUUGAUUGAACCGCAUGGUUCAAUCAUAAAAGGUGGCUUUUAGCUACCACUUACAGAUGGACCCGCGGCGCAUUAGCUAGUUGGUGAGGUAACGGCUCACCAAGGCGACGAUGCGUAGCCGACCUGAGAGGGUGAUCGGCCACACUGGGACUGAGACACGGCCCAGACUCCUACGGGAGGCAGCAGUAGGGAAUCUUCCGCAAUGGACGAAAGUCUGACGGAGCAACGCCGCGUGAGUGAUGAAGGUUUUCGGAUCGUAAAACUCUGUUGUUAGGGAAGAACAAGUACCGUUCGAAUAGGGCGGCACCUUGACGGUACCUAACCAGAAAGCCACGGCUAACUACGUGCCAGCAGCCGCGGUAAUACGUAGGUGGCAAGCGUUGUCCGGAAUUAUUGGGCGUAAAGCGCGCGCAGGCGGUUUCUUAAGUCUGAUGUGAAAGCCCCCGGCUCAACCGGGGAGGGUCAUUGGAAACUGGGGAACUUGAGUGCAGAAGAAGAGAGUGGAAUUCCACGUGUAGCGGUGAAAUGCGUAGAGAUGUGGAGGAACACCAGUGGCGAAAGCGACUCUCUGGUCUGUAACUGACGCUGAGGCGCGAAAGCGUGGGGAGCGAACAGGAUUAGAUACCCUGGUAGUCCACGCCGUAAACGAUGAGUG